rnacentral:rRNA from 1 species
AGAGUUUGAUCAUGGCUCAGAUUGAACGCUGGCGGCAGGCCUAACACAUGCAAGUCGAACGGUAACAGGAAGCAGCUUGCUGCUUUGCUGACGAGUGGCGGACGGGUGAGUAAUGUCUGGGAAACUGCCUGAUGGAGGGGGAUAACUACUGGAAACGGUAGCUAAUACCGCAUAACGUCGCAAGACCAAAGAGGGGGACCUUCGGGCCUCUUGCCAUCGGAUGUGCCCAGAUGGGAUUAGCUAGUAGGUGGGGUAACGGCUCACCUAGGCGACGAUCCCUAGCUGGUCUGAGAGGAUGACCAGCCACACUGGAACUGAGACACGGUCCAGACUCCUACGGGAGGCAGCAGUGGGGAAUAUUGCACAAUGGGCGCAAGCCUGAUGCAGCCAUGCCGCGUGUAUGAAGAAGGCCUUCGGGUUGUAAAGUACUUUCAGCGGGGAGGAAGGGAGUAAAGUUAAUACCUUUGCUCAUUGACGUUACCCGCAGAAGAAGCACCGGCUAACUCCGUGCCAGCAGCCGCGGUAAUACGGAGGGUGCAAGCGUUAAUCGGAAUUACUGGGCGUAAAGCGCACGCAGGCGGUUUGUUAAGUCAGAUGUGAAAUCCCCGGGCUCAACCUGGGAACUGCAUCUGAUACUGGCAAGCUUGAGUCUCGUAGAGGGGGGUAGAAUUCCAGGUGUAGCGGUGAAAUGCGUAGAGAUCUGGAGGAAUACCGGUGGCGAAGGCGGCCCCCUGGACGAAGACUGACGCUCAGGUGCGAAAGCGUGGGGAGCAAACAGGAUUAGAUACCCUGGUAGUCCACGCCGUAAACGAUGUCGACUUGGAGGUUGUGCCCUUGAGGCGUGGCUUCCGGAGCUAACGCGUUAAGUCGACCGCCUGGGGAGUACGGCCGCAAGGUUAAAACUCAAAUGAAUUGACGGGGGCCCGCACAAGCGGUGGAGCAUGUGGUUUAAUUCGAUGCAACGCGAAGAACCUUACCUGGUCUUGACAUCCACAGAACUUUCCAGAGAUGGAUUGGUGCCUUCGGGAACUGUGAGACAGGUGCUGCAUGGCUGUCGUCAGCUCGUGUUGUGAAAUGUUGGGUUAAGUCCCGCAACGAGCGCAACCCUUAUCCUUUGUUGCCAGCGGUCCGGCCGGGAACUCAAAGGAGACUGCCAGUGAUAAACUGGAGGAAGGUGGGGAUGACGUCAAGUCAUCAUGGUCGCGAGAGCAAGCGGACCUCAUAAAGUGCGUCGUAGUCCGGAUUGGAGUCUGCAACUCGACUCCAUGAAGUCGGAAUCGCUAGUAAUCGUGGAUCAGAAUGCCACGGUGAAUACGUUCCCGGGCCUUGUACACACCGCCCGUCACACCAUGGGAGUGGGUUGCAAAAGAAGUAGGUAGCUUAACCUUCGGGAGGGCGCUUACCACUUUGUGAUUCAUGACUGGGGUGAAGUCGUAACAAGGUAACCGUAGGGGAACCUGCGGUUG